rnacentral:rRNA from 1 species
UAGGGAAUCUUCCACAAUGGACGCAAGUCUGAUGGAGCAACGCCGCGUGAGUGAAGAAGGUUUUCGGACCGUAAAGCUCUGUUGUUGGUGAAGAAGGAUAGAGGUAGUAACUGGCCUUUAUUUGACGGUAAUCAACCAGAAAGUCACGGCUAACUACGUGCCAGCAGCCGCGGUAAUACGUAGGUGGCAAGCGUUGUCCGGAUUUAUUGGGCGUAAAGCGAGCGCAGGCGGAAGAAUAAGUCUGAUGUGAAAGCCCUCGGCUUAACCGAGGAAAUUGCAUCGGAAACUGUUUUUCUUGAGUGCAGAAG